GACGAACGCUGGCGGCGUGCUUAACACAUGCAAGUCGAACGGAAAGGCCCUGCUUUUGUGGGGUGCUCGAGUGGCGAACGGGUGAGUAACACGUGAGUAACCUGCCCUUGACUUUGGGAUAACUUCAGGAAACUGGGGCUAAUACCGGAUAGGAGCUCCUGCUGCAUGGUGGGGGUUGGAAAGUUUCGGCGGUUGGGGAUGGACUCGCGGCUUAUCAGCUUGUUGGUGGGGUAGUGGCUUACCAAGGCUUUGGCGGGUAGCCGGCCUGAGAGGGUGACCGGCCACAUUGGGACUGAGAUACGGCCCAGACUCCUACGGGAGGCAGCAGUGGGGAAUAUUGCACAAUGGGCGGAAGCCUGAAGCAGCAACGCCGCGUGCGGGAUGACGGCCUUCGGGUUGUAAACCGCUUUCGCCUGUGACGAAGCGUGAGUGACGGUAAUGGGUAAAGAAGCACCGGCUAACUACGUG
rnacentral:rRNA from 1 species